rnacentral:rRNA from 1 species
GACGAACGCUGGCGGCGUGCUUAACACAUGCAAGUCGAACGGAAAGGCCCUGCUUGCAGGGUACUCGAGUGGCGAACGGGUGAGUAACACGUGGGUGAUCUGCCCUGCACUUCGGGAUAAGCCUGGGAAACUGGGUCUAAUACCGGAUAGGAGCCAUUUUUAGUGUGAUGGUUGGAAAGUUUUUUCGGUGUAGGAUGAGCUCGCGGCCUAUCAGCUUGUUAGUGGGGUAAUGGCCUACCAAGGCGGCGACGGGUAGCCGGCCUGAGAGGGUGGACGGCCACAUUGGGACUGAGAUACGGCCCAGACUCCUACGGGAGGCAGCAGUGGGGAAUAUUGCACAAUGGGCGCAAGCCUGAUGCAGCGACGCCGCGUGGGGGAUGACGGCCUUCGGGUUGUAAACUCCUUUCGCUAGGGACGAAGCUUUUUGUGACGGUACCUAGAUAAGAAGCACCGGCUAACUACGUGCCAGCAGCCGCGGUAAUACGUAGGGUGCGAGCGUUGUCCGGAAUUACUGGGCGUAAAGGGCUCGUAGGUGGUUUGUCGCGUCGUCUGUGAAAUUCCGGGGCUUAACUCCGGGCGUGCAGGCGAUACGGGCAUAACUUGAGUACUGUAGGGGUAACUGGAAUUCCUGGUGUAGCGGUGAAAUGCGCAGAUAUCAGGAGGAACACCGAUGGCGAAGGCAGGUUACUGGGCAGUUACUGACGCUGAGGAGCGAAAGCAUGGGUAGCGAACAGG